CCUACGGGGGGCGGCAGUGGGGAAUUUUGGACAAUGGGCGCAAGCCUGAUCCAGCAAUGCCGCGUGAGUGAAGAAGGCCUUCGGGUUGUAAAGCUCUUUUGUCAGGGAAGAAACGGUCUAGGUUAAUACCUUGGGCUAAUGACGGUACCUGAAGAAUAAGCACCGGCUAACUACGUGCCAGCAGCCGCGGUAAUACGUAGGGUGCAAGCGUUAAUCGGAAUUACUGGGCGUAAAGCGUGCGCAGGCGGUUAUAUAAGUCAGAUGUGAAAUCCCCGGGCUCAACCUGGGAAUGGCAUUUGAGACUGUAUGGCUAGAGUGUGUCAGAGGGGGGUAGAAUUCCACGUGUAGCAGUGAAAUGCGUAGAGAUGUGGAGGAAUACCGAUGGCGAAGGCAGCCCCCUGGGAUAACACUGACGCUCAUGCACGAAAGCGUGGGGAGCAAACAGGAUUAGAUACCCUGGUAGUCCACGCCCUAAACGAUGUCUACUAGUUGUCGGGACUUAAUUGUCUUGGUAACGCAGCUAACGCGUGAAGUAGACCGCCUGGGGAGUACGGUCGCAAGAUUAAAACUCAAAGGAAUUGACGG
rnacentral:rRNA from 1 species